rnacentral:rRNA from 1 species
AUUGAACGCUGGCGGCAGGCCUAACACAUGCAAGUCGAGCGGAUGAAGGGAGCUUGCUCCUGGAUUCAGCGGCGGACGGGUGAGUAAUGCCUAGGAAUCUGCCUGGUAGUGGGGGAUAACGUCCGGAAACGGGCGCUAAUACCGCAUACGUCCUGAGGGAGAAAGUGGGGGAUCUUCGGACCUCACGCUAUCAGAUGAGCCUAGGUCGGAUUAGCUAGCUGGUGGGGUAAAGGCCUACCAAGGCGACGAUCCGUAACUGGUCUGAGAGGAUGAUCGGUCACACUGGAACUGAGACACGGUCCAGAGUACUACGGGAGGCAGCAGUGGGGAAUAUUGGACAAUGGGCGAAAGCCUGAUCCAGCCAUGCCGCGUGUGUGAAGAAGGUCUUCGGAUUGUAAAGCACUUUAAGUUGGGAGGAAGGGCAGUAAGUUAAUACCUUGCUGUUUUGACGUUACCAACAGAAUAAGCACCGGCUAACUUCGUG